UGCGGCGUGCUUAACACAUGCAAGUCGAACGGGGGUAGGCCGACUGAACGAAGACAUCAGUUUACUGAUAUGGAGGGAAUGGGACCCGUAGUGGCGGACGGGUGAGUAACGACGUGGGUAACCUGCCCCGAUACCGGGGGAGUAACACUUAGAAAUAGGUAGCUAAUACCGCAUAAGCGCACGGUACUGCAUGGUACAGUGUGAAAAACUCCGGUGGUAUGGGAUGGACCCGCGUCUGAUUAGCUUGUUGCGGGGUAACGGCCCACCAAGGCGACGAUCAGUAGCCGGCCUGAGAGGGUGGACGGCCACAUUGGGACUGAGACACGGCCCAAACUCCUAUGGGAGGCAGCAGUGGGGAAUAUUGCACAAUGGGGGAAACCCUGAUGCAGCGACGCCGCGUGAGUGAAGAAGUAUUUCGGUAUGUAAAGCUCUGUCAGCAGGGAAGAAAAUGACGGUACCUGACCAAGAAGCCCCGGCUAACUACGUG
rnacentral:rRNA from 1 species